rnacentral:rRNA from 1 species
GAUCCUGGCUCAGGACGAACGCUGGCGGCGUGCUUAACACAUGCAAGUCGAACGGGAUCUGCGUGGCCUUUGUGGUUGUGUGGUGAGAGUGGCGAACGGGUGAGUAACACGUGAGUAACCUGCCUUUUUCUUUGGGAUAACGCUCAGAAAUGGGUGCUAAUACUGGAUGUUCUGCGCUUUCCGCAUGGGGGGUGUGGGAAAGGGGCUUUUUAAGUUUCUGGAGGGAGAUGGGCUCGCGGCUUAUCAGCUUGUUGGUGGGGUGAUGGCUUACCAAGGCUUUGACGGGUAGCCGGCCUGAGAGGGUGGGCGGUCACAUUGGGACUGAGAUACGGCCCAGACUCCUACGGGAGGCAGCAGUGGGGAAUUUUGCACAAUGGGGGGAACCUUGAUGCAGCGACGCCGCGUGAGGGAUGGAGGCCUUCGGGUUGUGAACCUCUUUCGCUCGUGUGCAAGCCGCUAUUUGGGUAGUGGUGAGUGUAGCGGGUAAAGAAGCGCCGGCUAACUACGUGCCAGCAGCCGCGGUAAUACGUAGGGCGCGAGCGUUGUCCGGAUUUAUUGGGCGUAAAGGGCUUGUAGGCGGUUUGUCGCGCCUGUCGUGUAAUCCUCUGGCUUAACUGGGGGUGUGCGGUGGGUACGGGCAGGCUUGAGUGCGGUAGGGGAGAUUGGAAUUCCUGGUGUAGCGGUGGAAUGCGCAGAUAUCAGGAGGAACACCGGUGGCGAAGGCGGGUCUCUGGGCCGUUACUGACGCUGAGGAGCGAAAGCGUGGGGAGCGAACAGGAUUAGAUACCCUGGUAGUCCAUGCUGUAAACGUUGGGCACUAGGUGUGGGGGCCGCCCUUGGUUUCUGCGCCGUAGCUAACGCUUUAAGUGCCCCGCCU